ACCCGAGCAUUCAACAAACACUCACAUUCACACAUUCUGUUUCUUCUUGUAUUUAUUCGAAAGACUCUUGUUGUUUGUAUUUGCGUUCUUAUCAUCCCGGAGUGUUGAAAUGUCAUCAUAUUGGGACGGCAACUAUAUCUUCGGGCAGUAUUCUAGCGAAAAGUGGGGGCACGAAAGCGUUCCGGACUCUGGCGUUCCCGAUUCUAAUGAGCAAGAGGAGGUUGUGUCUAGUAUACAAG